GAUCUCUUUGAGGCCCGUUAUCGGAAUGAGAACAAUUCAAAUCCUUUAACGAGGAUCUAGCGGAGGGCAAGUCUGGUGCCAGCAGCCGCGGUAAUUCCAGCUCCGCAGGUGUAUAUCUAUGCUGCUGCGGUUAAAAAGCUCGUAGUUGGAUCUGCGUGCUCGGAACUGGUUGGCUCACUGAGUUCAAACUGGUCUCCGGCGCUUUAUUGGCUGGUUUUCCCUUGAUGCUCUUAACCGGGUGUCUUGAGUGGCUAGCACGUUUACUUUGAAAAAAUUAGAGUGCUCAAUACAGGCGUAAAGCCUUGAAUAGUGGUGCAUGGAAUAAUAGAAUAGGACCUCGGCUCUAUUUUGUUGGUUUUCGGAACGCGAGGUAAUGAUUAAGAGGGACAGACGGGGGCAUUCGUAUUGCGACGUUAGAGGUGAAAUUCUUGGAUCGCCGCAAGACGGACGACUGCGAAAGCAUCUGCCAAGAAUGUUUUCAUUAAUCAAGAACGAAAGUUAGAGGUUCGAAGGCGAUCAGAUACCGCCCUAGUUCUAACCGUAAACGAUGCCAACUAGCGAUUCGCAGGCGUUAAACAACGACCUUGCGGGCAGCUUCCCGGAAACGAAAGUGUUCGGGUUCCGGGGGAAGUAUGGUUGCAAAGCUGAAACUUAAAGGAAUUGACGGAAGGGCACCACCAGGAGUGGAGCCUGCGGCUUAAUUUGACCCAACACGGGAAAACUCACCCGGCCCGGACACCGUAAGGAUUGACAGAUUGAGAGCUCUUUCUUGAUUCGGUGGGUGGUGGUGCAUGGCCGUUCUUAGUUGGUGGAGCGAUUUGUCUGGUUUAUUCCGAUAACGAACGAGACUCUGGCCUACUAAAUAGUGGGCGGAUUCUUUCUGUCCGCAACACUUCUUAGAGGGACAAGCGGUGUUCAGCCGCACGAGAUUGAGCAAUAACAGGUCUGUGAUGCCCUUAGAUGUCCGGGGCUGCACGCGCGCUACACUGAAGGAAUCAGCGUGCUUUCUGACCUUGCCCGAAAGGGCUGGGUAACCCGAUGAAAAUCCUUCGUGAUUGGGAUAGGGACUUGCAAUUAUUUCCCUUGAACGAGGAAUUCCCAGUAAGUGUGGGUCAUAAGCUCGCGUUGAUUACGUCCCUGCCCUUUGUACACACCGCCCGUCGCUGCCCGGAACUGAGCCGUUUCGAGAAGAACAGGGACCGUCGUUGAAGGGCCUUAACGGGCUUUUCUCUGAUAGAAACUGUU
rnacentral:rRNA from 1 species